GUUUAAUAUUUGAAUUUGAUUCCGAGCUAUCCUGAAUCUCACAACAUUCAUCCCUGGCACCCAGGCAUAUUGUGGAGGAUUGCACAACCACAGUUGGCAGAAUGACAGGGUCAACAUCCAAACAGCCUGCAAGAACUGUUGUCAAUUAAAGUUAUUAAUUAAAUUGUUUGGAAUAAACAAAAGUAAAACUGGUUGUUGCUUACAAAAUAUCGAGUCAAAAGGCGAAUUGAAACACAGCAUGUUCAUCUUCCCGCGUUCACCUUUAUUUAAUGUUAAUCAUUGAAAGCAAAUACAUGGCAUGUUUCUGAAGCUUUUUAUAGACACAAAGCUGACUUUCAUCAAACGCUGCAGGUGGACUUCCAUUAUGAACAGAUGUCAGCUCAUGCACUCUGUACAAAGAUUUUGGAUGACAGUUUUUGCAGUUCUUCUUGACUACAAUGUUUGAGGAGUAAUGAUUGAAUGCUUUGCAUAAGGUAUCCUUGGAACAGGAAAAAUACAUGGUGAAUCAUGGUAAAUUU